GGGGAGGUCGCAUAGUCAGGUCGAGUGCACGACGGUGCUAACGUCGCGAGUCCGCAAGGGCUCCGCGGGUUCGAAUCCCGCCCUCCCCG
rnacentral:tRNA from 1 species